ensembl:lncRNA
UAAUAAUAAUAAUAAUAAUAAUAAUAAUAACAUUGGCACUGGCUACAUCUGCGCUCCAUCUAUCCAUGGAGUAGGUACAGCUACAAGGGUUCAACAGUGAUGGACACACACACACAAACACACAAACACACACACACACACACACACACACACACACACACACACAGAGAGUGACGGGUUCAAGACAGAAGAGGUGAGUAGAGAGGUAAUUUAAGGUAAGCAUGGCUCAGGACCAGACUGUCAGAGGAACACUGGAAGAGUUUUUGGCCCUGAAGCAUGGUGACUGUAGAUGUUUGGGUGAGGGAGAGGUGAGAAAUGAAGAGGCACUGAUACGGAGAAGCAAGCCAGAGACAGAGGUGAGAUAUAUAUCACAAGAUGUCAUGUGCAGGUGUAUGCCUGUGUGGGGCCUGCUUGAAGAUUUUAUGGAACUGACACUGAUUAUAGAUCAGACAAGAGGGAACAUGUGAUAAAACACACAGACGCAAACCCAGAGCCAGGAUUCUCGGAAAAGUGAGAUCAUUGUUUUUAAAGAAAAACAGGCGCAUAAGAACAUGAGCUUCACACACACACUCUCACACACACACACGGAUUUCAACAUACUGGCCUGCGAUUUCUGAUAUGACAUUAGUGAUCAAUUCCGAUAACAAUACUUGUUGCAAAACUUUGAAAAAUGAGGGUUAGAUUAGAUAUGAGCGUGGAAUAAGGAGAUAACAUCACCUCACAGGUCAGUGGUAAACAAUGCACAAAGUCCAGUUAGGGCAGUUUUUCUACUGCACAUAUAGAAACAAAACCAAGCCUUGAGAAACUCUUUUGAGAAACAAGGAACACAGUAAAUUCAAGUGCCUAUGAUGCAUUUGACACCAUUUUAAGCCCCUUAUGGCUGAGGUAGGAAAUGCUAACAGGCUAUGCUAAUAACUGAUGUAGAAAAAAAACACUAACACUCUGAGGUAAUCGCUAAUGUAGAAUAUAACACCAACACUGAGGUAAUCUCUAAUGUAGAAUUAAAACACUAACACUGAGGUGAUCUCUAAUGUAGAAUAAAACACUAACACUGAGGUAAUCUCUAAUGUAGAAUAAAACACUAACACUGAGUAAUUCUCUAAUGUAGAAUAAAACACUAACACUCAGGUAAUCACUAAUGAGGUAAUCGCAAAUGUAGAAUAAAACACUAACACUGAGGUAAUCUCUAAUGUAGAAUAAAACACUAACACUCUGAGGUAAUCGCUAAUGUAGAAUAAAACACUAACACACAUAGAAUUAGAAGCUACCACUAUCUAAGCUAAUCACUGAUGUUAGAUGAAGGGCUAACACACUAAACCAAUUCACAGCGAUGGUGAAAAUGAAGACCUAACGCUCAGCUAAUGACUGGUGUAAACUAUGGCGUAGGUCGAAGGCCUAGCGUCCUUAGCUAAUGACAUAUGUAGCUUUGCUAAUCACAUAUGUAGCAUGACGAGCUAAAUAUAGGGUAGACUGCUUAUAUCAAAACAAGCUGUGUGCUACAGACACCAUGUCAUUAUGUCAGCUGUGAACUUCAACACCUUCAUACUUCAUUUUGAGAGAUUUGUUGCAGCCUGAGUGAAGUGGACUCGCCUGAUUCUGUUCACACUGUAUUUCCUUUCACCUCAGCAAAAUUUUGAUCAGAUUGAUCAGAAACAGUAACUCUGACCUCUGGUGUUUAAGUGUGUUUGUACCUGAGCUUGUUAAAGUUUAAGUCUGGUUUCAUGAUUGUGGUGCUAUUUAGC